AACGCGAAGAACCUUACCCAGACUUGACAUGCAGUGGACAGUUCCAGAGAUGGGAUCUCCCUUCGGGGCCGCUGCACAGGUGCUGCAUGGCUGUCGUCAGCUCGUGCCGUGAGGUGUUGGGUUAAGUCCCGCAACGAGCGCAACCCUUAUCAUUAGUUGCCAACAUUUAAGGUGGGAACUCUAAUGAGACUGCCUGGGUUAACCAGGAGGAAGGUGAGGAUGACGUCAAGUCCGCAUGGCCCUUAUGUCUGGGGCUACACACGUGCUACAAUGGUCGGUACAAAAGGCAGCAAAACCGCGAGGCGAAGCAAAUCCCGAAAGCCGACCCCAGUUCAGAUUGUAGUCUGCAACUCGACUACAUGAAGAUGGAAUUGCUAGUAAUGGCGAGUCAGCAACAUCGCCGUGAAUACGUUCCCGGGCCUUGUACACACCGAGUAUA
rnacentral:rRNA from 1 species